UGUCCUGAUGCUGUGUCUGGACCAAGCUGUGUGACAUAUUAAAUAACGUAGCCAAAAAACAAAAUACUGAAAGGCAAUACAUUGAAAAAAAUAAAUUGGUUCCAGAGGAACUUCCCAGCCUGAGUCGGCAUGUGAACUGCCUCUCACAUUUCCAGGCAUGUACCACUGCCCAGAACAUUGUCAGGUGUGAGGGUUUCCUCUUCAGGGCUAACCUCAGCAACUCGUGCUGCAGCUUACACCCAAACCUCUCAGUCUGGCUACACAGGAAUGGAGAAUCAUUGCUGGGCUGCUUCUAUCUGACAGAUUCCCAUCAGCCUGAAGCUGGGUGUUCAUUCAGGGGUCUGUGUCCCUGCCACAGAGUAUUGGGCCCCUCUGUCUUUCUGUAGAGGCCUGAUUUCCUACACUUUGAUCUAUGUUUUGACUUUUCUUAGUUCUUUUUUGUUUUUUGUUUUUUUCCUCAAGGGUUGAUUAAGGUAAGGAGAAAGAUAAAACGCAGUUUAAAUGGGGCCUCUAGAAUCUUCUAUGAAGGGGUUGACUUAUUCCAUGUCAACAGAUAUAUAGAUUUCCCCCAAAGAUUUCCUUUCCUCAGGGCUCCUAAGCUUGUAAUGGAUGUGAUGGAGCCAUUGGAUGUUGUCUUCCCACACAAUGAGGCACGUAGAACCGUGUCCUUCACCUGGCCCUCCAACAACCCUAGAAUGCCUUAUUUGAAGGGAGUGGACGUGGACUGGAAACCGGCCAACAGAAGCAUUUCUCAACAGGAAAGCCAUGUAUGCUCAUUGUUCUGCCAGCAUCUCAGCCGCAUACUGACGCACAGCAGAGAGGGCAAAGAAUAAGGGGAGUGUGCCUGCCAAACCACAAGGGGGGCAGGGCCAAGGGAGCCUAUGGUGUUAGGAAGACAAAUCCGUGGCGGCCUGCAUUGUGGCCUGGCAGCCACAUGGACUCCAUGAAAACAGCCUUUCACUGAGUGAACAGCGCCAGCUUACCCAGACUCCUGGUAACCCUCCCCUGUGACACAGAGCAUGAGAGCCUCAUUUGUUCUCUGGGCCUAUGGUGGGUAACAGGAGACGGGAGGUCCUGAGGCCCUGGAGCCUUCCCCUGACAAGCACAGUACUCUAUAGAGCCCCUCUGAGGAGGCUGGGGGACCAGAGAUAAAGUAGGGGCCUUCUGCUACAGUGGCCUUGGGGUUGGGAGUGACUUAUUUGAAUGGUCUGUCACACUACAGGGCCAAACUGGAAACCAACUACAUCUUCAUAUCUGUGAAGGAUGCAGUGAGAUGAAAGUCGAGACGUAUCUCCGGCACAGUGGCCUUCAUCCACUCAAUGAGUGCCCUGGGUGAUUCAGUCAAGGUGUGGAAGAAGGAGGUCACUGUUCCUAUGGAGCAGGGAGCGAGUUACUCAAGACUUCAGAGCUCGGAAGACCCUUUUAAGAGUACAGAUGCUGGCUUCCCCAUUAAUCUACAGAUGGUCAUUCUUAUCUUUUGAAGCCUUCUAGAAGCAGGGCACUCACAACUAUUCCACUGGUAAUCUUCUUUCUGGUAAAUAUAUUGGGACCAAGAUGGCACCUGCUUACAGGACAAAGUUAUUUACUGCAUUGGUUCCCGGGCUUGUGCUUUCUGGCUAGAAAGUCUUUGUAGCCUAAAAUAAGAAUGAAACAGGCUGCUCAAUGUGCAUUAUCAUUGCCCCUUCUAGAUCAUCUGUAAUUAUGCCAUGGCUGAAUCUCAGAGACCACUGUGGGAUGCAUGUAUGGUCUGAGCCACUGCUAGGACAAAGCCAGCAAUGCUGUGAGUGAGGCUCCAUUCUGCAUCUACCCAUGCUCCCCUUCUGUUUCACUGGAACAGCCUGUCUGGACAACACCAUUAGUGCAGAGAUGACUUGCAGAUCUGACUUGAACUUCAUACCUGUUUAUCCAUCUCUGUGUCAGAUAGCUUGGUCUGGAUGUUACAGCCACCUCAAAUCACACACACGCCUCUUCCACCCUCCCUUCACCUUCCCUCCAAAAUUCCUCCUCCUCCAGUAUCCCACCUCUUAGCAAGUGGGUCUCACUGUCCACACAGCUGGCCAAGGAAGACAUCUGAGAUUCCUUUUCAAAAUAUACUUCUCCCACCCCCCACGCCCUUGGUCUGCAACUCCAGUCAAUGCUGUCUUCCAGUGAGCUCUCAUGUUUCCUCUCCCUCCAAUUCCUAAGGCUCCCACUUUGCCCCAGUUCUCACAACGCCCCUGGGCUCCUGUGUCUUCCCUACACAGCACAUUUUCCUCACUGCUGCCAAAAGGAUCUUCCAAGGUACAGUCCAAUUGUGUCCUAUACCAGCUUAGAAGUCUGCAUGGUGGUCUGCUUCCACACUGAGCUAACGACCAGUGUCUUCAACAUCGUUCUCCAGAGCCAUUUUCCCUCUGGCCCCUGCCCCCCUCUCUGGUUUCUCCACAACCCCUGGGCAUGCCUCCUCUGCAGCCACAGGGACCCUCAGCUCCACAUCCCACCAGGUUGCUUGCCCCUUUGAGCUUUGCCCUGAGCAUCUUGGAGAGCUCUGUCCUAAUUCUUAGCCUGACUAACUCCCACCUUCCCAAUGUCACCCUGAGAAGUCUUCUGAGACCCCUUCCGACCCACCACCCCAACCAUGAAGUGAAGGGUCCUUCCCGGACUUCUAGAACACCGUGUACACCUACCAUACUAUGCUGUGGUUACUGAUUUUCUUGUCUCCUUCACAGAAAAGUGUCUUUCCUCUUUGCCUCACUAGUGCCUACCUAGUAGGCUCUGACUUCACAGGUUUACUAAAACAAAUGCAGAAGCGGUUAUGCUAGGUCAUGAAUGCAAAGUCAGAUUCUCACCCUGAGAGACUGUGAGAAUAAGUUGAAAUUUUGCAAAGAGGGUUAUUUACUUUCCAACGUGAGCAUGGCAAGGUGUGUACACUUUUCCUUGGCACACUUAGAGUUAAUCCGUGAAACUCUGUGUAUCUUUCAUGAAUUAUGUAUCUGCACCAAUAAAAACCAGUGAAGAUGAA